ACUGAGACUAGAGUCACCUCCAGACAUGGCUGUUGUGUGCUCAAGUCCUCGGAGAGAAUCUGCUGCUCUUGACUCACUGGUGAGGAUAAUCAGUUUCCUUCAGUGCCCAGAGCAGACACAGCC
ensembl:snoRNA